CCUAAGAAGGGAGAACGGGCCGGCCCAUCAACACUUCACAUCUGGGCAGCAGACUAAACAGGGCACACAGAUCACCCUGUCACAGCUUUCCCCACUAUGACUUAAUCCCUGGAUAUAGAUCUGCAUCUCCAACCUGAAUACUGAGUUUACAAAAGGAACAUGCUGAUCAGAGAUAAGGCAAGAGGUUGCCUCAGUAUCAUGGAUCUCAUCAUCUGUCUAUGAAGGUGAAGAACCCUUAGUGGGAGGGCCAGCCCUACCAUUAGUCAGAGUGAGGAAAUUGCCCAAGGCUGAAAUUGUCAGAAGGCACUUCCAGCCAUUCUUCCUGAUUUCCCUGGCCAUUCCCAUCAGUUAGAGAUCAGAAGAGCUGUGUAUCACAAGCCUUUCAAGUGUCCCCUAAACUAGCUUGGUGGCCUUAGGAGGACACUAUCCUAUUGACCUUGUUGAAGUAAAAUUUAAUUGCCAGUCCUUUCAGCUUCUGUACAUGGAAUAGGGAGCCUGGCGCCAUCUUUUCCUUUGUCUUCAGCGGCAAAAUGUCUUGGGCUAGCCCUGCUUGGUGGAAAAAGUGAGUACUUAAUGAAAAUUGCUUCAUGGUAAAACAAAGGCUGUGGCUAGCUGUACUUCCAGACUACGGCAAACACCACCAACCUCAGUUAUUUGAAAGAUGAACUGAAAGGCUCAUUACUUAUCAAACUGUCAAACUUUACUUCAGCCACCACAUCUAUCAUUUCAUAACUCUGACACAAACUUAAAAUGAAGCAGUGGACUCAUCAAAAUAUCAGGCUUCAUCCACUGACAUCCAUUAACAUCGGGCACUGCGAUCCACACCUGUCAGAUGGGAAAUUGAUGGAGCUCCUCAACCCUUGUCCUCAAACCAUGACCUGUGUCCAAAGCACUUUAAUCUCCAUUCCCCCACCCCACCCCCACCCCA